rnacentral:lncRNA from 1 species
AUGCCCCGGGACCCCCGAACCCCCCCGGGGGUUUUUGGGGUCCCCCUGACCGCUGUUCCCCUCCCCCACAGGCUCAGUGACCCCUCCCCCACCUCCGACCCCCCCUCCCCUCCCCCCUUUUUGUUUUGGGCGAGCGGCCGGACGGGGCCGGGGACCCCCAAAAUCCCCCCAAAAUCCCCCCAAAAUCCCCCCAAAAUCCCCCCAAAAUCCCCAAAACCCCCCCGGAGCCACUCGAACAUUCCUGGGGACCCCCCCCCAAAAACAACCCCCGGGGACCCCCAAAAACACCCCCCAAAACCCUCCAGGGGAUACCCCAAAAUUCCCCCCAAAAACUCCCAGGGAUCCCCAAAACCCCCCGGGGACCCCCCAAAACCUCCUGGGAGCCACUGGGGACCCCCCCCAAAAAAACAAUCCCCUCAGGGACCCCCCAAUUCCCCCCCAGGGACCCCCAAAUGCUCUGGGGAUCCCCAAAAUCCCCCAAAUUCCCCCCAGGGACCCCCAAUCCCCCCCAGGUCCCCCCAAGAUCCCCUGGGCGUCCCAAAAUCCCCCCAAAUUUUCUCAAAUUCCCCCCAAAUUUCACCAAAAUCCCUCCCGGGGACCCCCAAAUCCCCCCUGGGGGUCCCCAGAUCUCUCUGGGGGUCCCCAAAUCCCCCCCAGGACCCCCAAAUCCCCCCUCAAAUCCUCUGGGGGUCCCCAAAUUCCCCCCAAAUUUUCUCAAAUUUUCCCCAAAUUCCACCAAGAUCCCCCCCAGGGACCCCCAAAUCCCCCCGGGAGUCCCCAAAAUCCCCCCCAGGACCCCCAAAUUUCCCCCCAAAUCCCCCUGGAAGUCCCCAAAUCUGCCCGAAUCCCCCCAAAUUUCCCCCGGGGACCCUCAAAUCCCCCUGGGGGUCCCCAAAUCCCCCCAAAUUUCCCCCAAACCCCCCCCGGGGUCCCGUCCCCCCCCGGCCGCCGCCCCCCCCCCGUUCCCGCCCUUCCGGAAGGUUCUGGACCCGCUCCCGCCGGAGGCUCCCGAGUUUUUACUUUUUACCGCUUGUUUUUAACUUCACAAAUAAACGGAACAAAAACGCCCGUCUGAGCCGGGGGGGGUCACACCGGGGGGGGGGGGGGGGAAAUUAA